GUGCCCGUAGCUUAACGGAUAGAGCGCAGCCCUGCGGAGGCUGAAAUUGAGAGUUCAAUUCUCUCCGGGCACA
rnacentral:tRNA from 1 species